rnacentral:rRNA from 1 species
AUACGGAGGGUGCAAGCGUUACUCGGAAUCACUGGGCGUAAAGCGCGCGCAGGCGGCUUGAUAAGUUGGAUGUGAAAGCCUACGGCUCAACCGUAGAACUGCAUCCAAAACUGUCAAGUUAGAGUCUGGGAGGGGAAGAUGGAAUUAGUUGUGUAGGGGUAAAAUCCGUAGAGAUAACUAGGAAUACCAAAAGCGAAGGCGAUCUUCUGGAACAGUACUGACGCUGAGGCGCGAAAGCGUGGGGAGCAAACAGGAUUAGAUACCCUAGUAGUCC